CAAGAUAGAGCAUCCUAUGCAUUUCACUUACAUUGAAAAGAAAAUGUCAACACAUUUAUCUUGA
rnacentral:tRNA from 1 species